rnacentral:tRNA from 1 species
GCCUUCGUGGUGUAGUGAUCAGCAAGCUAGACUCGUAACCAAGUGGUCCUUGGUUCGAUUCCCGGCGAAGGCG